UUAUCUCUGUAGAGUCUGCAUAUCAAUAAGCGGAGGAAAAGAAACUAACAAGGAUUCCCUUAGUAACGGCGAGUGAAGCGGGAAGAGCUCAAAUUUGAAAUCUUCAAGGUUCUACCUUGACGAAUUGUAGUUUAAAGAAGUGUUUUCUGUUAGAUGAGUAGCAAAAGUUCCUUGGAAUGGGACAUCAUAGAGGGUGAGAAUCCCGUAUUUGGUUAUUCAUUCUAGCUUUGUGAUACACUUUCAAAGAGUCGGAUUGUUUGGGAAUGCAGUCCGAAAUGGGUGGUAAAUUUCAUCUAAAGCUAAAUAUUGGCGAGAGACCGAUAGCGAACAAGUACCGUGAGGAAAGAUGAAAAGAACUUUGAAAAGAGAGUUAAACAGUACGUGAAAUUGUCAAAAGGGAAGCGUUUGACACCAGUGUUGUUUUUCCGAAAAUCAAUUACGAAUGGCUUGAUUUUGUGUUGUAUUGACCUUAUCAGCUUUCUUCACUUUUUUCGAGUCUUUCUUAAUGCACUUUUCGGUUAACAAGUCAACAUCAAUUUCUUUUGUUGUAAAAGAGUAUUCGGAAGGUGGCUUUCUUUUCGGAGAAAGUGUUUAUAGCCCUAUACUUCUACAAUCGGAGAGAUUGAGGUCUGCAGCGUAGAUCCUUCGGGGUUAGAUACACUUUGUGCUAAGUUGUAGCUUUUCAUAGACAACUUGUUGACUAUGUUUAGUCAUGCGGCUUACUCGCUUAGUGCUAUUUUACCUACGCUUAGGAUGUUGACUGAUAUGUAGUCGUA
rnacentral:rRNA from 1 species